UGACGAGCGGCGGACGGGUGAGUAAUGUCUGGGAAACUGCCUGAUGGAGGGGGAUAACUACUGGAAACGGUAGCUAAUACCGCAUAAUGUCGCAAGACCAAAGUGGGGGACCUUCGGGCCUCAUGCCAUCAGAUGUGCCCAGAUGGGAUUAGCUAGUAGGUGGGGUAACGGCUCACCUAGGCGACGAUCCCUAGCUGGUCUGAGAGGAUGACCAGCCACACUGGAACUGAGACACGGUCCAGACUCCUACGGGAGGCAGCAGUGGGGAAUAUUGCACAAUGGGCGCAAGCCUGAUGCAGCCAUGCCGCGUGUGUGAAGAAGGCCUUCGGGUUGUAAAGCACUUUCAGCGGGGAGGAAGGCGAUAAGGUUAAUAACCUUGUCGAUUGACGUUACCCGCAGAAGAAGCACCGGCUAACUCCGUGCCAGCAGCCGCGGUAAUACGGAGGGUGCAAGCGUUAAUCGGAAUUACUGGGCGUAAAGCGCACGCAGGCGGUCUGUCAAGUCGGAUGUGAAAUCCCCGGGCUCAACCUGGGAACUGCAUUCGAAACUGGCAGGCUAGAGUCUUGUAGAGGGGGGUAGAAUUCCAGGUGUAGCGGUGAAAUGCGUAGAGAUCUGGAGGAAUACCGGUGGCGAAGGCGGCCCCCUGGACAAAGACUGACGCUCAGGUGCGAAAGCGUGGGGAGCAAACAGGAUUAGAUACCCUGGUAGUCCACGCCGUAAACGAUGUCGAUUUGGAGGUUGUGCCCUUGAGGCGUGGCUUCCGGAGCUAACGCGUUAAAUCGACCGCCUGGGGAGUACGGCCGCAAGGUUAAAACUCAAAUGAAUUGACGGGGGCCCGCACAAGCGGUGGAGCAUGUGGUUUAAUUCGAUGCAACGCGAAGAACCUUACCUGGUCUUGACAUCCACAGAACUUUCCAGAGAUGGAUUGGUGCCUUCGGGAACUGUGAGACAGGUGCUGCAUGGCUGUCGUCAGCUCGUGUUGUGAAAUGUUGGGUUAAGUCCCG
rnacentral:rRNA from 1 species